rnacentral:hammerhead_ribozyme from 1 species
AGCCGAAACGCCCACCUGGGCGUCCGUCGGGGCCAGCCGCCCGGCGCUGAUGAUGGCAGGCUGCA